rnacentral:rRNA from 1 species
UUAAGCGACUAAGCGUACACGGUGGAUGCCCUGGCAGUCAGAGGCGAUGAAGGACGUGCUAAUCUGCGAUAAGCGUCGGUAAGGUGAUAUGAACCGUUAUAACCGGCGAUUUCCGAAUGGGGAAACCCAGUGUGUUUCGACACACUAUCAUUAACUGAAUCCAUAGGUUAAUGAGGCGAACCGGGGGAACUGAAACAUCUAAGUACCCCGAGGAAAAGAAAUCAACCGAGAUUCCCCCAGUAGCGGCGAGCGAACGGGGAGGAGCCCAGAGCCUGAAUCAGUGUGUGUGUUAGUGGAAGCGUCUGGAAAGGCGCGCGAUACAGGGUGACAGCCCCGUACACAAAAAUGCACAUACUGUGAGCUCGAUGAGUAGGGCGGGACACGUGGUAUCCUGUCUGAAUAUGGGGGGACCAUCCUCCAAGGCUAAAUACUCCUGACUGACCGAUAGUGAACCAGUACCGUGAGGGAAAGGCGAAAAGAACCCCGGCGAGGGGAGUGAAAAAGAACCUGAAACCGUGUACGUACAAGCAGUGGGAGCCUCUUUUAUGGGGUGACUGCGUACCUUUUGUAUAAUGGGUCAGCGACUUAUAUUCUGUAGCAAGGUUAACCGAAUAGGGGAGCCGAAGGGAAACCGAGUCUUAACUGGGCGUUAAGUUGCAGGGUAUAGACCCGAAACCCGGUGAUCUAGCCAUGGGCAGGUUGAAGGUUGGGUAACACUAACUGGAGGACCGAACCGACUAAUGUUGAAAAAUUAGCGGAUGACUUGUGGCUGGGGGUGAAAGGCCAAUCAAACCGGGAGAUAGCUGGUUCUCCCCGAAAGCUAUUUAGGUAGCGCCUCGUGAAUUCAUCUCCGGGGGUAGAGCACUGUUUCGGCAAGGGGGUCAUCCCGACUUACCAACCCGAUGCAAACUGCGAAUACCGGAGAAUGUUAUCACGGGAGACACACGGCGGGUGCUAACGUCCGUCGUGAAGAGGGAAACAACCCAGACCGCCAGCUAAGGUCCCAAAGUCAUGGUUAAGUGGGAAACGAUGUGGGAAGGCCCAGACAGCCAGGAUGUUGGCUUAGAAGCAGCCAUCAUUUAAAGAAAGCGUAAUAGCUCACUGGUCGAGUCGGCCUGCGCGGAAGAUGUAACGGGGCUAAACCAUGCACCGAAGCUGCGGCAGCGACACUAUGUGUUGUUGGGUAGGGGAGCGUUCUGUAAGCCUGCGAAGGUGUGCUGUGAGGCAUGCUGGAGGUAUCAGAAGUGCGAAUGCUGACAUAAGUAACGAUAAAGCGGGUGAAAAGCCCGCUCGCCGGAAGACCAAGGGUUCCUGUCCAACGUUAAUCGGGGCAGGGUGAGUCGACCCCUAAGGCGAGGCCGAAAGGCGUAGUCGAUGGGAAACAGGUUAAUAUUCCUGUACUUGGUGUUACUGCGAAGGGGGGACGGAGAAGGCUAUGUUGGCCGGGCGACGGUUGUCCCGGUUUAAGCGUGUAGGCUGGUUUUCCAGGCAAAUCCGGAAAACUAAGGCUGAGGCGUGAUGACGAGGCACUACGGUGCUGAAGCAACAAAUGCCCUGCUUCCAGGAAAAGCCUCUAAGCAUCAGGUAACAUCAAAUCGUACCCCAAACCGACACAGGUGGUCAGGUAGAGAAUACCAAGGCGCUUGAGAGAACUCGGGUGAAGGAACUAGGCAAAAUGGUGCCGUAACUUCGGGAGAAGGCACGCUGAUAUGUAGGUGAAGUCCCUCGCGGAUGGAGCUGAAAUCAGUCGAAGAUACCAGCUGGCUGCAACUGUUUAUUAAAAACACAGCACUGUGCAAACACGAAAGUGGACGUAUACGGUGUGACGCCUGCCCGGUGCCGGAAGGUUAAUUGAUGGGGUCAGCGCAAGCGAAGCUCUUGAUCGAAGCCCCGGUAAACGGCGGCCGUAACUAUAACGGUCCUAAGGUAGCGAAAUUCCUUGUCGGGUAAGUUCCGACCUGCACGAAUGGCGUAAUGAUGGCCAGGCUGUCUCCACCCGAGACUCAGUGAAAUUGAACUCGCUGUGAAGAUGCAGUGUACCCGCGGCAAGACGGAAAGACCCCGUGAACCUUUACUAUAGCUUGACACUGAACAUUGAGCCUUGAUGUGUAGGAUAGGUGGGAGGCUUUGAAGUGUGGACGCCAGUCUGCAUGGAGCCGACCUUGAAAUACCACCCUUUAAUGUUUGAUGUUCUAACGUUGACCCGUAAUCCGGGUUGCGGACAGUGUCUGGUGGGUAGUUUGACUGGGGCGGUCUCCUCCUAAAGAGUAACGGAGGAGCACGAAGGUUGGCUAAUCCUGGUCGGACAUCAGGAGGUUAGUGCAAUGGCAUAAGCCAGCUUGACUGCGAGCGUGACGGCGCGAGCAGGUGCGAAAGCAGGUCAUAGUGAUCCGGUGGUUCUGAAUGGAAGGGCCAUCGCUCAACGGAUAAAAGGUACUCCGGGGAUAACAGGCUGAUACCGCCCAAGAGUUCAUAUCGACGGCGGUGUUUGGCACCUCGAUGUCGGCUCAUCACAUCCUGGGGCUGAAGUAGGUCCCAAGGGUAUGGCUGUUCGCCAUUUAAAGUGGUACGCGAGCUGGGUUUAGAACGUCGUGAGACAGUUCGGUCCCUAUCUGCCGUGGGCGCUGGAGAACUGAGGGGGGCUGCUCCUAGUACGAGAGGACCGGAGUGGACGCAUCACUGGUGUUCGGGUUGUCAUGCCAAUGGCACUGCCCGGUAGCUAAAUGCGGAAGAGAUAAGUGCUGAAAGCAUCUAAGCACGAAACUUGCCCCGAGAUGAGUUCUCCCUGACCCUUUAAGGGUCCUGAAGGAACGUUGAAGACGACGACGUUGAUAGGCCGGGUGUGUAAGCGCAGCGAUGCGUUGAGCUAACCGGUACUAAUGAACCGUGAGGCUUAACCUU